GAUAUUUCGAUCAGUCAGUCAGUCAUACAGAGAAGAUUAGCAUGGCCCCUGCGCAAGGAUGACAAGCAAAAUCGUGAAGCGUUCCACAUUUUA
rfam:Stegodyphus mimosarum contig99309, whole genome shotgun sequence.